rnacentral:tRNA from 1 species
GCGUUAUUAGCGUAGUGGACAAAGUCUCGGCUUGCCAAUCCGAAGGUCCCGGGUUCGAUUCCCGGUUAAGUCC